CCUACGGGAGGCUGCAGUGGGGAAUAUUGGACAAUGGGGGGAACCCUGAUCCAGCGACGCCGCGUGAGUGAAGAAGUAUUUCGGUAUGUAAAGCUCUAUCAGCAGGGAAGAAAGAAAUGACGGUACCUGACUAAGAAGCACCGGCUAACUACGUGCCAGCAGCCGCGGUAAUACGUAGGGGGCAAGCGUUAUCCGGAUUUACUGGGAGUAAGGGGAGCGUAGACGGCGAUGCAAGUCUGAAGUGAAAGGCGGGGGCCCAACCCCCGGACUGCUUUGGAAACUGUAUGGCUGGAGUGCAGGAGAGGUAAGUGGAAUUCCUAGUGUAGCGGUGAAAUGCGUAGAUAUUAGGAGGAACACCAGUGGCGAAGGCGGCUUACUGGACUGUAACUGACGUUGAGGCUCGAAAGCGUGGGGAGCAAACAGGAUUAGAUACCCCAGUAGUC
rnacentral:rRNA from 1 species